rnacentral:misc_RNA from 1 species
GGGAUGGUGACGUCGAGGGCGGUGAGAACGGCAGUGAUAGCGCUGCGGUGGGGCCCGCGCUGGGCGAGGGUUUGGAUGUCAGCGUCUGUGAGGGACUUACCGAGGGAGUAGGAGGUGUCGGAAAGCUGGCGGCCGAGAGAGACGCGGGCGGCUCCGCCGCGGUAGCGCUCGGUGGUACGCCACCAGGUGGCUACGGAGGGAGCAAGCGGCGGAGAGGCAGUGGAAGAGGGAGUGAGGGAGCGGACGAAGUCGGUGAUGAUGGCUUUCUGGGAGGUGGAGAAGGUGCCGUAGAAGAGGAGGUGGAGGGUGAGGUUGCCCUUGAGGAGGAGGCCGUUGUGGUAGCUCAGGACGAGAGGGGGAGGUUCAACGAGAAUGAGUUUGCGGGGCCCAGUGGCUGCCGCGACAGCGCCCAG